rnacentral:rRNA from 1 species
UACGGAGGGUGCGAGCGUUGCCCGGAAUCACUGGGCGUAAAGGGCGCGUAGGCGGCCUGAUAAGUAGGGGGUGAAAUCCUGCGGCUUAACCGCAGGGCUGCCUUCUAAACUGUCAGGCUCGAGCACAGUAGAGGCAGGUGGAAUUCCCGGUGUAGCGGUGAAAUGCGUAGAGAUCGGGAAGAACAUCGGUGGCGAAAGCGCUCUACUGGACCGCAACUGACACUCAGGGACGAAAGCUAGGGGAGCGAAUGGG